rnacentral:tRNA from 1 species
UGGGGAGUAACUCAGUGGUAGAGUGAUCGGCUGUUAACCGAUUUGUCGUGGGUUCAAAUCCCACUUCCCCAGCCA